rnacentral:rRNA from 1 species
UGGGGAAUUUUGGACAAUGAGCGAAAGCCUGAUCCAGCAAUGCCGCGUGCAGGAUGAAGGCCCUCGGGUUGUAAACUGCUUUUGUACGGAACGAAAAGCCUGGGGCUAAUAUCCCCGGGUCAUGACGGUACCGUAAGAAUAAGCACCGGCUAACUACGUG